ACGGAAGGCAGCAGUGAGGAAUAUUGGUCAAUGGAGGCAACUCUGAACCAGCCAUCUCGCGUGAAGGAAUACGGCCCUACGGGUCUUAAACUUCUUUUAUAGGGGGAUAAAGUGAGAUAUGCGUAUCUUUUUGUAGGUACCCUAUGAAUAAGCAUCGGCUAACUCCGUGCCAGCAGCCGCGGUAAUACGGAGGAUGCGAGCGUUAUCCGGAUUUAUUGGGUUUAAAGGGUGCGCAGGCGGCACGUUAAGUCAGCGGUGAAAUGUCAGCGCCCAACGCUGGCCUGCCGUUGAUACUGAUGGGCUUGAAUACACACAAGGAAGGUGGAAUUCGUCGUGUAGCGGUGAAAUGCUUAGAUAUGACGAAGAACUCCGAUUGCGAAGGCAGCCUUCUGGAGUGCGAUUGACGCUGAGGCUCGAAAGCGCGGGUAUCAAACAGGAUUAGAUACCCUGGUA
rnacentral:rRNA from 1 species